CCUACGGGUGGCAGCAGUGAGGAAUAUUGGUCAAUGGCCGGAAGGCUGAACCAGCCAUGCCGCGUGAAGGUCAGUGCCCUAUGGGCGUUAAACUUCUUUUGUGCGGGAGCAAUAAUGGUCACGUGUGGCCAGACGAGAGUACCGUACGAAUAAGCAUCGGCUAACUCAGUGCCAGCAGCCGCGGUAAUACGGGGGAUGCAAGCGUUAUCCGGAUUUAUUGGGUUUAAAGGGUGAGUAGGCGGUGAGGUACGUCAGCGGGGAAAUGCCCCCGCUCAACGGGGUGAAGUGCCAUUGAUACUGCCUUGCUGGAAUGCGGAUGCGGUGGGAGGAAUGUGUGGUGUAGCGGUGAAAUGCAUAGAUAUCACACAGAACACCGAUUGCGAAGGCAUCUCACGAAUCCGCGAUUGACGCUGAUGCACGAAAGCGUGGGUAUCAAACAGGAUUAGAUACCCGAGUAGUC
rnacentral:rRNA from 1 species